rnacentral:sRNA from 1 species
UUCGGCUAUUAUUAGCUUGAAUUAAACUCAUAUUUGAUCCUACCUUAACAAUUUGUGAAAGAACCCAGAACAUACAAGAGACGAAAAAUGUCCGAAAAAGAAAACUCCAUUAAAAAGAAACUACCUGUUAUUUUAAAUGGCCAAUUUUUUAAGCCAGAUGGCAAAUGUGUAUUGUGUGUAAAUAAAAAUUAAAUUCGACGAAAAUUCAACUGGAAAUUUACACAAACAUCUUAAGAGGGUGCAUCCAAACAGCUACGCGUCAUAUUAGGCCAUGAAAUCAAAAGUGGCAAAAAAGGAAGAGAAUAAAUUAUCAGAGCCUAAGCAAGCAAAUUUCUUCUAUUUCCAAGGUUCAAGCAAGGUAA